CUUAUACUGUGAAACUGCGAAUGGCUCAUUAAAUCAGUUAUCGUUUAUUUGAUAGUACCUUACUACAUGGAUACCUGUGGUAAUUCUAGAGCUAAUACAUGCUAAAAACCUCGACUUCGGAAGGGGUGUAUUUAUUAGAUAAAAAACCAACGCCCUUCGGGGCUCCUUGGUGAAUCAUAAUAACUAAGCGAAUCGCAUGGCCUUGCGCCGGCGAUGGUUCAUUCAAAUUUCUGCCCUAUCAACUUUCGAUGGUAGGAUAGUGGCCUACCAUGGUGGCAACGGGUAACGGGGAAUUAGGGUUCGAUUCCGGAGAGGGAGCCUGAGAAACGGCUACCACAUCCAAGGAAGGCAGCAGGCGCGCAAAUUACCCAAUCCCGACACGGGGAGGUAGUGACAAUAAAUACUGAUACGGGGCUCUUUUGGGUCUCGUAAUUGGAAUGAGUACAAUCUAAAUCCCUUAACGAGGAACAAUUGGAGGGCAAGUCUGGUGCCAGCAGCCGCGGUAAUUCCCAGCUCCAAUAGCGUAUAUUAAAGUUGUUGCAGUUAAAAAGCUCGUAGUUGAACCUUGGGUCUGGCUGGCCGGUCCGCCUCACCGCGAGUACUGGUCCGGCUGGGACCUUUCCUUCUGGGGAACCUCAUGGCCUUCACUGGCUGUGGGGGGAACCAGGACUUUUACUGUGAAAAAAUUAGAGUGUUCAAAGCAGGCCUUUGCUCGAAUACAUUAGCAUGGAAUAAUAGAAUAGGACGUGCGGUUCUAUUUUGUUGGUUUCUAGGACCGCCGUAAUGAUUAAUAGGGAUAGUCGGGGGCGUCAGUAUUCAGCUGUCAGAGGUGAAAUUCUUGGAUUUGCUGAAGACUAACUACUGCGAAAGCAUGUCGCCAAGGAUGUUUUCAUUAAUCAGGGGAACGAAAGUUAGGGGUAUCGAAGACGAUCAGAUACCGGUCGUAGUCUUAACCAUAAACUA
rnacentral:rRNA from 1 species